rnacentral:rRNA from 1 species
UACGUAGGGUGCAAGCGUUAAUCGGAAUUACUGGGCGUAAAGCGUGCGCAGGCGGUUUUGUAAGUCUGUCGUGAAAGCCCCGGGCUCAACCUGGGAAUUGCGAUGGAGACUGCAAGGCUUGAAUCUGGCAGAGGGGGGUAGAAUUCCGCGUGUAGCAGUGAAAUGCGUAGAGAUGUGGAGGAACACCGAUGGCGAAGGCAGCCCCCUGGGUCAAGAUUGACGCUCAUGCACGAAAGCGUGGGGAGCAAACAGG